AGGAAAGGCAAGCAUGUAAACAGUUAAACUGUCAUACUGGAACUGCGUAAAUUUCAAUCAUGAAGGAAAGUCAUCGAGUAGCAGCAAAAUUUAAACUCAGAGAGGCAGGGAUUCUAACCCUUUUGUUCAUUGCUACCACCCGAGAGCCCAGAUGAUGGCUGCCACAAGUGCUCCUAAAUACUUGUUCAAUGAAAGAAUGAAGAAAUGAACCAGGCUGGAAGGAAGACAAAGAUUUCCCACUGGAAAUAAAUAAAUGGCACACUCCCACUUAAGCUACCUGGAGAUUCAUUAUUAA